GACGAACCGUGCGAACGUUGUUCGGAUUCACUGGGCUUAAAGGGCGCGUAGGCGGCUUGCCAAGUCAGGGGUGAAAUCUUUCGGCUCAACCGGAAAAGUGCUUCUGAUACUGGCGGGCUGGAGGAGGGUAGGGGCAGAUGGAACUUCCGGUGGAGCGGUGAAAUGCGUAGAUAUCGGAAGGAACGCCGGUGACGAAAGCGAUCUGCUGGACCCUUUCUGACGCUGAGGCGCGAAAGCCAGGGGAGCAAACGGG
rnacentral:rRNA from 1 species